UACGUAGGUGGCGAGCGUUAUCCGGAAUCAUUGGGCGUAAAGAGGGAGCAGGCGGCCGCAAGGGUCUGUGGUGAAAGACCGAAGCUAAACUUCGGUAAGCCAUGGAAACCGGGCGGCUAGAGUGCGGAAGAGGAUCGUGGAAUUCCAUGUGUAGCGGUGAAAUGCGUAGAUAUAUGGAGGAACACCAGUGGCGAAGGCGACGGUCUGGGCCGCAACUGACGCUCAUUCCCGAAAGCGUGGGGAGCAAAUAGGAUUAGAUACCCUAGUAGUCCACGCCGUAAACGAUGGUCACUAAGUGUCGGGGGUCAAACCCCGGUGCUGCAGUCAACGCAAUAAGUGACCCGCCUGAGUAGUACGUUCGCAAGAAUGAA
rnacentral:rRNA from 1 species